rnacentral:ncRNA from 2 species
UACGUAGGGGGCGAGCGUUGUCCGGAAUUAUUGGGCGUAAAGGGCGCGUAGACGGCCGAGUAAGUUAUAGGUGAAAGCCCAUCUUUCAAGGAUGGAAUUGCCUGUAAUACUGCCUGGCUUGAGUGCAGGAGAGGGAAGCGGAAUUCCUAGUGUAGCGGUGAAAUGCGUAGAUAUUAGGAGGAACACCAGUGGCGAAGGCGGCUUUCUGGACUGUAACUGACGUUGAGGCGCGAAAGCGUGGGGAGCAAACAGG